AAAACCUUAAAAAAUGAUUUUUUUAAUUAAAUAAUAACAAAUUCCACGAAAAUACACAAAUUUAACAUGAAAUACGUUUUAUUAAAAUGCAUGACAAAUCAGGGCACAUAACCUAGAAUGGAAUCCUUAUUGAGAGUUGACAUACAGGGUCAAUUACGCGAUAUAACCUGAAAGCUCUGAUAGCAGGGCCCCAGCAGAAGGUCCGGGCUCAAAGUGAAAAUUAUGCGGAAAAAUCGUCGUUGUGAAAAUUAUACGUCCCACAUAUUAUAUUUUUCAAUGAAAUUUCUAUUCUGGGCCCUUCUUGUCUCCCUCGUCAGGCCUGCCUAACUUUAUAUGGGUCGCUGUUAUCUACCUCUAUGUGAGGUUGAAGGGAUUAUCCCAUUUCUAUAUUAUGAAUUCUCAAGAAAGGUGGUGGAGAGUUGAGAAAUCCGGUACUUGUUGACCAUAAAGUUAAAAAAAUCAAGUGAUAGGUGGGAAAAGUCGUCUGAGAACUUGUGAAUAAAGUGAAUUGACCAAGAUUUUAUAGUGGUUGAAAUAAAUUCUGUGAGCCAGAACGGUGAACAACGACAAUGUGUAUAAAACGCAUAUGCGAAUGCAAUCUGGAUGGAUAACUUAUGAUUGAAAAAAUGCAAUUAUCAGCGAGACAAAGACUUCUGCAGGCCAAGGACUGACAUCGGAGUGUACCGUCAAGGAAGAAGAGGGAGAAGAAAGAAUUUUCAGCAACAAAUUGAAAUUUAUCUGCUCUGAGGGUUAGAUGCAAAAAUAUCAAAAAACCAACCAAAUGGUAGCUUUGGUAGCUAUUGCCAUUGAUUCAAGUAAUAGAAUCGUAAUAAUUGAUGGUGUAAUGAAUAGUGACGACAAAAAAAUUUAUGCAGAAUGAAACUCUAUGUUGUACUUGCAAAAAAAUUAUGAACUUUUUCAGUCCACGAACUUGAAAAUUUUUUGGCCUAGACUAUGUUAUGAAUCAGUUUUACAAUUAACUAUAGAAAACAAAACAUUGAAGAAAAUGUGGAUGAUCCCCAUCCAAGAACUAACCAUUCCCUAGAACGCUUAAUCUCGAUGACCACUUGUCGGGCUCGGCUAUUUAGGAUCUCGAGUCUCAAAAUUCAGUUAUUAUAAUUUGCCUUAUUAGAGUUCUUUCAGCAAUUGUUAAUGCAAAAUAAUGACAGGAAUCUAGGAAUCUAUGUAAUUGAUAAUUCUGGUAUUGCUUAAUUAAUGGAUUUUACUGGAGCGGAGCGAAAUUACUCUCAGUCAGAAUAUGACAAAACUAUGUGUAAACCCUUUAGUUUGGAUUUUAAAACCAAGUUUUAAAAGUAUAAUUAUUAUUUUCAUUAUUCAUUAUUCACAAACAUUUCAGGCUCCAAAAAAUA